GAUUAACGCUGGCGGCGUGCAUAACACAUGCAAGUCGAACGAUGAAACUCAUUAGAUUUCUUCGGAAUGAAAAUGAAUGGAUUAGUGGCGAACGGGUGAGUAACGCGUGAGUAACCUGCCUUACACAAGGGGAUAGCCUCUGGAAACGGAGAAUAAUACCCUAUGAAACCAGACAAUCGCAUGAUAAUCUGGUCAAAAUGGUUAGUGGUGUAAGAUGGACUUGCGUCUGAUUAGCUAGUUGGUGAGAUAAAAGCUCACCAAGGCAACGAUCAGUAGCCGGCUUGAGAGAGUGUACGGCCACAUUGGGACUGAGACACGGCUCAGACUCCUACGGGAGGCAGCAGUGGGGAAUUUUGCACAAUGGGGGAAACCCUGAUGCAGCGACGCCGCGUGAUUUAGAAGGCCUUCGGGUUGUAAAAAUCUUUUGUAUAGGAAGAAAAUGACAGUACUAUACGAAUAAGGUCCGGCUAAUUACGUG
rnacentral:rRNA from 1 species